rnacentral:rRNA from 1 species
AUGGGCACAGUUUUGGAUGCUCUCACUUCGAAAUUUUUGACAAGGCUGGGUCGGCUUAUUGAAGAUGAGGUUGUGAUGACACUAAGCGUGAAAAAGGACAUCAAAAGGCUGAAGAAAAAUCUGGAACACUUCAGCGCAGUUCGCGAGGAUGCGGAAGCUCUGGCCAUGGAAGAUAGACGCAUAGAGGCGUGGUGGAAGAACAUGAGUGAUGUUAUGUUUGAUGUUGAUGUCAUCAUAGACCUUGUUAUGGUUCAUUCACAAAAAAAUUUGCUGCCAGCAAGAUCGCUCUGUUUCAAUCAGCCUAUGGUCUCUUGUUUUGAAAAUAUUUUAUUUGAUAACAAGGUGGCUAGAAGAAUUAAGGACAUAAAUGAAAAGCUUGAUGAGAUUAAAAUGAACACAGAGAUGUUCAGCUUGGAUAGAUCCCUUCAUCAACAGUUCCAGGUAACAAGUGUGGACAGAAAUCAGACAUCUCCUAUAGAUGAACUAGAGGUUGUUGGAAGAGAGAUCAAGCAAUCGGUUGAUGACAUGGUACAAAUAAUUGUCAGUGGCUGCCAUGAGAAUAAUACAAGUGUUCUGGGGAUUCAAGGAAUGGGAGGCAUCGGUAAGACAACGUUAGCUCAGAAGAUAUAUAAUCAUCAGAUGAUAAGAGAGAAAUUCCAAGUUCAUAUAUGGCUGUGCAUUUCGCAGAGCUACACAGAGACCGGGUUGAUAAAGCAGGCAAUACGAAUGGCUGGAGAAAAGUGUGAUCAGCUAGAGACCAAGACCGAGCUUCUACCACUUUUAGUGGACACUAUCAAAGGAAAGAGUGUUUUUCUUGUGCUGGAUGAUGUGUGGAAGUCUGAUGUCUGGAUUGAUCUUCUUCUAUCACCUUUCAUGAGAGCUUCGAACUUCCAGAUCCUUGUGACCACAAGAGACCUGUAUGUUUUGUCAGAAAUGCAUGCAACAUAUAUCCACCGAGUAAACAAAAUGAAUUACAGUGAUGGCUUAGAACUGCUUAUGAAGAAGUCCUUUCAAUCAUCCGAGCAAAUAUGUGAAUUCAAGAAUGUUGGCUAUGACAUUGUAAAGAAAUGUGAUGGUCUUCCUCUUGCCAUCAAGGUUGUUGCUGGUGUCCUAUCCACCAGAAGAACAGUUGCCGAAUGGAAGAGCAUCCGAGAUAGUAAAUGGUCCAUUCAUGGACUCCCCAAAGAACUUGGAGGUCCCCUGUAUUUAAGUUACAGCAACUUACCCCCUCAACUCAAGCAGUGCUUUCUCUGGUGUGCUUUGUUGCCUCCUAAUUUUGCAAUAGGUCGUGAUGAUGUUGCUUACUGGUGGGUUGCCGAAGGUUUUGUGAGGAAAGAGCAUGACCACUCAAUACAUGAAAUUGCGGAAGAGUAUUACCUUGAGCUAAUCAGGAGGAAUCUUCUGCAACCGAUACCUUUUUUUGUAGAUAAAGGUGAGUCAACGAUGCAUGAUUUAUUGAGGUCACUUGGGAAAUAUCUGACAAAGGAUCACUCCCUAUUCAUGAAUGCGGAAAGUAAAAAUUCCAUGCCGAAUCUGCGCCGCUUAGGUAUCAGCCAUGCUAUAGAAGAAAUCCCCCCUCUAGGAGAAAACAAGUGCUUGAGGAGCCUCCUACUUUUUAAUAACAAGAAUUUCAAGUCAAUUCGCAAAGAUAUUUUCAGAAAGCUUGAGCAUAUCCGUGUCUUGGAUGACCCAAGCUGA